rnacentral:rRNA from 1 species
GGAAGGGGUGUAUUUAUUAGAUCCAAAACCAGCGCGGGUUGCCUUCGGGCUCCCGGUACCUGGGUGAUUCAUGAUAACUUCUCGAAUCGCACGGCCUUCGCGCCGGCGAUGGUCCAUUCAAAUUUCUGCCCUAUCAACUUUCGAUGGUACGGUAGUGGCCUACCAUGGUUGCAACGGGUGACGGAGAAUUAGGGUUCGAUUCCGGAGAGGGAGCCUGAGAAACGGCUACCACAUCCAAGGAAGGCAGCAGGCGCGCAAAUUACCCAAUCCCGACACGGGGAGGUAGUGACAAUAAAUACUGAUACAGGGCUCUUUUGGGUCUUGUAAUUGGAAUGAGUACAAUUUAAACCUCUUAACGAGGAACAAUUGGAGGGCAAGUCUGGUGCCAGCAGCCGCGGUAAUUCCAGCUCCAAUAGCGUAUAUUAAAGUUGUUGCAGUUAAAAAGCUCGUAGUUGAAACUUGGGCCUGGCUGGCGGGUCCGCCUCACCGCGUGCACUCGUCCGGCCGGGCCUUUCUUCUGAAGAACCUCAUGCCCUUCACUGGGCGUGCUGGGGAACCAGGACUUUUACA